AUGGCGGAAUCCUCGGCGACGGGCGCUGGCGGAGAGCUGAUGGCGGCGAUGGCGGCGAUGGCGGCGGCGGAAGGCUCCUCGAGCUCGGCCGGCUUGCCUCUGGGCCGGAGCUUCUCCAACUACCGGCCCUUCGAGCCCCGGGCGUUGGGGCUUAGCCCGAGCUGGCUGCUGGCGGGCUUCUCCCGCAGGAAGGGCUCAGGCUGCACGGCCCCCCAGGAGAUGCCGCUCAAACUCCUGGCGGGACUGACGCGGCCGGACGUGCGGCGCCCCCUGGGCCGGGGCCUGGUGGGAGGCCAGGAAGAGGCGGCCCGGGAAGCCCGCCUGCCAGCAGCGACAGGCCCCAGCCCCACAUUUCCAGCCCUGGGCAUUGGGACAGCUCCUGCGUCAUGGCCCUGAGGCAUGGGGGCCUCUGGUGCAGAUCUCAGACUUCUUUCACCCCUUGGCGGAAGAUCCUUACGUGGUGGGGUGCAGAGCUUGUGCCAGCGUGCUGAGUGACCUCUACGCCGUGGGCAUUACUGAACGUGACAACAUGUUAAUGCUACUCAGUGUCAGCCAGGGUAUGAGUGAGGAGGUAGCGGAAAAAGGAACGCCACUCACGAUCAAAGGCUUUCGGGAUGCUGCGGAGGAGGGAGGACUGCAGUGACGGGUGGACAAAUAGUAGUCGACCCUUGGACUAUCAUCCAUGGAGUUGCCACUGUGGUAUGUCAGCCAAAUGAAUUCAUAAUGCCUGACGGACGAUGCGGUUGUUGGGGAUGUGCUCGUGUUAACCCAACCCUCAGGAACCCAAGUUGCUGUCCACCCAAGUUGCUGUCAAUGCCCACCAGUGGCUGGAUAAUCUUUAAAGAUGGUGGUCUCCAGAGAAGAGGUAGAGCUGGCCUUUCAGGAAGCUGCGCUCAAUAUGGCUACCCUAAACAGAACUGCUGGAUUAAUGCACACAUUAAUUCCCAUGCCGCUGCAGAUAUCACUGGCUUUGGCAUCCUAGGACAUUCUUAGAACCUUGCAAAACAACAAAGAAAUGAAGCGUCCUUUGUCAUUCAUAAUCUGCUGAUUAUUGCCAAGAUGGCUGCCAUCAGCAAGGCCAGUGGGCGGUUUGGGUUCUUUAAGGAACCUCAGCUGAAACCUCUGGGGGACUACUGAUUUGAACAGGCAGCUCGCUUUUGUUCUGAAAUAAAAUCUUCCAAGUACAGAGAGGGUUACCAAGCAUGGAUCCUUGGCACUGUGGAAAAGGGAAACAUAACAGCCUGAAUCAUUGAUAAGCCUGGAGUUAUUGAGGUCCUACCUCGGGGGGGCCACAGCUACUGCUCUUGCUCAGAAAAUUCCAAUGCCUCCUGGGAUCCUAACUCCUGA